UUGCUUUUUGCUGACGAGUGGCGAACGGGUGCGUAACGCGUAUGCAACCUACCUUCUUCUGAGGAAUAGCCCAGAGAAAUUUGGAUUAAAACCUCAUGAUAAUAUUUAUUCGCAUGUUUAAAUAUUUAAAAUUUCGGUGGAAGAAGAUGGGCAUGCGUAACAUUAGUUUGUUGGUGAGGUAAUGGCUCACCAAGACUACGAUGUUUAGGGGGUCUGAGAGGAUGAUCCCCCACACUGAUACUGAGACACGGACCAGACUCCUACGGGAGGCAGCAGUGAGGAAUAUUGGUCAAUGGACGAAAGUCUGAACCAGCCAUGCCGCGUGAAGGAUGACUGCCCUACGGGUUGUAAACUUCUUUUGUAUAGGAAGAAACCCCUCUACGUGUAGAGGGUUGACGGUACUAUUCGAAUAAGCACCGGCUAACUCCGUGCCAGCAGCCGCGGUAAUACGGAGGGUGCGAGCGUUAUCCGGAAUUAUUGGGUUUAAAGG
rnacentral:rRNA from 1 species